rnacentral:rRNA from 1 species
CCCCUAGAUGUUCUGGGCCGCACGCGCGCUACACUGACGAAUGCAACGAGCUUAUAACCUUGGCCGAAAGGUCUGGGUAAUCUCCAAAUUUCGUCGUGAUGGGGAUAGAUUAUUGCAAUUAUUAAUCUUCAACGAGGAAUGCCUAGUAAGCGCAAGUCAUCAGCUUGCGUUGAUUACGUCCCUGCCCUUUGUACACACCGCCCGUCGCACCUACCGAUUGAAUGGUCCGGUGAAAUUCUCGGACGCGGACUAGCGAUGUUAAUUCGGAGCUUGACUGUGAAAGUUAAUUAAACCUUACCAUUUAGAGGAAGGUGAAGUCGUAACA